GCAGACGGGUGAGUAAGGCGUGGGAAUCUACCCAUCUCUGCGGAAUAGCUCUGGGAAACUGGAAUUAAUACCGCAUACGCCCUACGGGGGAAAGAUUUAUCGGGGGUGGAUGAGCCCGCGUUGGAUUAGCUAGUUGGUGGGGUAAAGGCCUACCAAGGCGACGAUCCAUAGCUGGUCUGAGAGGAUGAUCAGCCACAUUGGGACUGAGACACGGCCCAAACUCCUACGGGAGGCAGCAGUGGGGAAUAUUGGACAAUGGGCGCAAGCCUGAUCCAGCCAUGCCGCGUGAGUGAUGAAGGCCUUAGGGUUGUAAAGCUCUUUCACCGGUGAAGAUAAUGACGGUAACCGGAGAAGA
rnacentral:rRNA from 1 species